rnacentral:misc_RNA from 1 species
GCCAAAUUCACUUGUACAACCUAAACCCUAAAACCUCAGACCUAAAACCUCAGCAUACUGUCACUGCCGUUUCUCCUUCACUAUCCAUCAACAUUGGAAGCUUUCUUUGUCUCUCGCAGUAGCUAUAGCCAUUUGAAGCCGCCGUUCGCCUUUCUCCCUCACAGCAGCUCAAGCCAUCGUUCACCUCUCCAUUGCUGAUUUGCUGCUGCCGUUCACCUUUCUCUUCACUAACCAUCAAGAAACUCAAGUAAGGUUACUUCUAGUAACCCUAGAAAGCAGCAGAGCACCAAGAAGAAGAAAAAGUGAGAAAAAUGCCUCUAGGGGAUAAGUUGGGAUGGGAAAAGAGCGAAUCUCGAUACUGUGGUGUGGAAACAGAUUUCAGCGAGGACAUGCCUCAGCUUCUCACUUUCAAUAUCUCCUCGGGUGGUUUUGAUUUUGUCGUUGCUCCUCUGAUGGAUCCCACUUAUAGACCGAGCUUGAUGGAAAAAGAUGGUGGUGGAUUGUGUGUUCUACCUUUUUCUGGGUCAGACUUAGUUUUGAGCCCCUCCCAGUGGAGCAGUCAUGUUGUGGGAAAAAUUAGUUCAUGGAUUGACUUGGAUUCAGCAGAUGAAACCCUUCGGAUGGAUUCUGAAACUACUCUGAAGCAAGAAAUAGCAUGGGCUAAUCAUCUUUCCUUACAGGCAUGCCUUCUACCUUGUCCUAAGGGUGCAUCCUGUGCUAAUUAUGCUAGAUGUGUGAAUCAGAUUUUACAGGGCUUGAACACUAUGCAGUUGUGGCUUAGGAUUCCACUGAUGAAGACUGAACAGGAUUCUAUGGAUGUAAACUCAAGUAAUUUGAUUGAUUCUUGGGAACUAUGGAAUUCAUUUCGUCUUCUGUGUGAACAUCACAGUCAGUUAGCCAUUGCACUUGAUGUUUUGUAAGCAGCACGCUAAUCAAUAAAUUUUUUUUUCCAUCAUAUUGUCUCUGCUAUAGUGGAAUUUUGAUACGUGCUUAUUCUUCAGGAGUUCCUUGCCAUCAGUGAACUCACUAAUCCGUUGGUUUGGAGAAUCUGUUAGAGCAGCCAUAAUACAUACUGAUUCUUUCCUAACAAAUGCACGGGGUUAUCCUUGCCUCUCUAAGCGUCACCAAAAGCUUGUUACUAUGUUUUUUAACCAUUCCAUACAGAUUGUCAUUGGUGGAAAAUCUGUACACAGCAGUCCAGGGGCAAGCUCAAAUUUGGUUGCUAAUAAUUUCGAUAAUAAUGUUGAAAAAAGUGUGCAGAGGCAUCCCUUGAGGUCAUACUUGGACUAUGUAGGUUACCUCUUUCAAAAAAUGGAUCCCCUUCCCGAGCAAGAACGUUUUGAGCUUGGAUACAGGGAUUUUCUACAGUCUCCAUUGCAACCGCUCAUGGACAAUCUAGAGGCACAAACAUAUGAGACAUUUGAGAAAGACUCAGUGAAAUACAUCCAGUACCAAAGGGCAAUCAGUAAAGCUUUGCUGGAUAGGGUCCCUGAUGAAGCAAGCAUUACCACUGUACUGAUGGUUGUAGGAGCAGGACGUGGACCUCUUGUCCGGGCAUCAUUGCAGGCUGCUGAAGAAACAGGACGCAAGCUAAAAGUAUAUGCAGUGGAGAAAAAUCCAAAUGCAGUUGUUACCCUUCAUAGUUUGGUUAAGCUGGAAGGGUGGGAAGACAUUGUGACCAUAAUUUCUUGUGAUAUGCGUUACUGGGAUGCUCCUGAGAAAGCUGAUAUCUUGGUUAGUGAAUUGCUUGGAUCAUUUGGUGACAAUGAGCUGUCACCUGAGUGUCUUGAUGGUGCCCAAAGGUUUUUGAAGCAAGAUGGAAUCUCAAUACCAUCAUCGUAUACAAGUUUCAUCCAACCAGUGACAGCUUCAAAACUCUAUAAUGAUGUUAAGUCACACAAAGAUAUUGUGCACUUUGAGACUGCAUAUGUUGUCAAAAUACAUAAUGUUGCUAGACUUGCUCCUUCUCAACCUGUCUUUACAUUUACUCAUCCAAAUUACACAUCUACGAAAAGCAAUCAGCGCUAUAAAAAGCUGCAGUUUGAGAUUGCGAAUGAUGCUGGGUCAGCCAUGGUGCAUGGAUUUGCUGGCUACUUUGAUGCAAAGCUCUACAAAGAUGUACAUCUUGGUAUUGAACCUUCAACAGCGACACCAAACAUGUUCAGCUGGUUUGCCAUAUUUUUCCCAUUAAGGAUACCAGUGUGCAUACAACCUGGUUCUCCUCUACAAGUACAUUUUUGGCGUUGUUGUGGCGCUUCAAAGGUUUGGUAUGAGUGGUGUGUGACAUCUCCCGCUUCAUCAGCUGUCCAAAACAGCAAUGGACGUUCAUAUUGGGUUGGUCUUUAGGUUUAGGUUUAACUCAAUUCUCCAAAUAGAUUUUUGGUAGUAGAACAUGUCAAUUUGAUGAAUAUACCGACUUCCUGGAACCUGAGGAAACUAAGCCAAGAUCUGCAUGGUUCAUAAUCUUGUGCGUAUUUACAAGUGACAGCUUGAAUUAUAUCGUGUGAUGAUUAAGGUCUUUUUUUGUGUUCAUGCCAUCAAAAUACUCUGCAAUACAUCAGUUCAGAAGAUAACUUGAAGAAAAUGGUUGCAGGGUAGUGUUUGUGAGCCAAAGCAGCUUCCAAAUUUUGCUAGUCUUAUAUGAUCUCAAUUUUCAAAAUUUUCGGGUCAUUUAUUUUCUGUGUAUGGUCACAAUGUUUCCUAGUCUUGUAUUGCUUAUAAGCAAAGAAUGAAAAAAGAAUGCUGGAAAAAACCCAUUUGCUAAAUCGGGUUAAUCUUGUACGCAUAUUGUCAAAUUUUAAAACAUGAGGAAAAAGUUAUAGGAA